ACGGAAGGCAGCAGUGGGGAAUUUUGCGCAAUGGGGGGAACCCUGACGCAGCAACGCCGCGUGCGGGAUGAAGGCCUUCGGGUUGUAAACCGCUUUCAGCAGGGACGAUUAUGACGGUACCUGCAGAAGAAGCUCCGGCUAACUACGUGCCAGCAGCCGCGGUAAUACGUAGGGAGCGAGCGUUAUCCGGAUUCAUUGGGCGCAAAGCGCGCGUAGGCGGCUUGCUAAGCGGAACCUCUAAUCCGAGGGCUCAACCCCCGGCCGGGUUCCGAACUGGCAGGCUCGAGUGCGGUAGGGGCAAGUGGAAUUCCAUGUGUAGCGGUGGAAUGCGCAGAUAUAUGGAAGAACACCGAUGGCGAAGGCAGCUUGCUGGGCCGACACUGACGCUGAGGUGCGAAAGCGUGGGGAGCGAACAGGAUUAGAUACCCUGGUA
rnacentral:rRNA from 1 species